rnacentral:rRNA from 1 species
GAAAAGAAACUAACAAGGAUUCCCCUAGUAACGGCGAGUGAAGCGGGAAGAGCUCAAAUUUGAAAUCUUAAAGGGUUUCCCUUUACGAAUUGUAGUUUAAAGAAGUGUUUUCUGUUGAGGUUUUGGUAAAAGUUCUUUGGAAUAGGACAUCAUAGAGGGUGAGAAUCCCGUAUUUGACCUUUACUUUCAACUUUGUGAUACACUUUCAAAGAGUCGGAUUGUUUGGGAAUGCAGUCCAAAAUGGGUGGUAAAUUUCAUCUAAAGCUAAAUAUUGGCGAGAGACCGAUAGCGAACAAGUACCGUGAGGGAAAGAUGAAAAGAACUUUGAAAAGAGAGUUAAACAGUACGUGAAAUUGUCAAAAGGGAAGCGUUUGACACCAGUGUUGUUUUUCUGAAAAUCAAUUAAAGAACUGUUUAUGCUAAGYUGUUUAGACUUUAUCAGCUAUCUGUUUAGUUUUGAGCUUUUCUUUAAUGCACUUUUCAGUUAACAAGUCAACAUCAAUUUCUUUUGCUGUAAAAAAGCUUGAGGAAGGUGGCUUGAGAUUCGUCUUAAGUGUUUAUAGCCUCUUGCCUAUGCAGUCGGAGAGAUUGAGGUCUGCAGCGUAGAUCCUUCGGGGCUAAAUGCAUUUGUGCUAAGUUAUAGCAUUUUAUAGACAACUUGUUGACUAUGAUUUGUCUUGUAGCUUACUCGCUUAUGUUAU